UAUUAAAGGCGGAGUCCAUGAUGUUUGAAAGCCAGUGUUGAUAUUUGAAAUCGCCUAAACAAACACGCCCCUACCCCAAUAGAAUCUGGACCUUCUGUUGAUAGACCCGCCCCACACAUACGCAACCCGGCAUUUGAUUUGAUUUGAUUGGCUAUAAGUGUGUUUUGGUAGUCGGCCCGUCUCCUUUUCCAAACCGUUUUUCAAACAUCGUGGACUCCGCCUUUAAUAUCUGCUGGGUGAAUAUUAAUACGUAUAUGCUAACAUUAAUUUUGUGACCACAAAAUGACAGCGAGCUAUUAUACGAGAUAUUGUGUCGUCGUGUUUGUCUUCACUCACUUCAUCAUUAUCUGCAAACAACUUCUGCAACUACACAAUGAUUGUCUGCCUGUGUGCAAAAUAAAGCACGUUCACUGUGUAAAACCCCGCGCAGGGCAUUUUCAAAUUAACGGUCAGGGCGAGUCUGAGCUUAUCGUGUUGUGUUGACAGAGACUUUGCUGAGUGUAUGUAAAUCUGGGCUACAGUCCACGACAAAUUUUCUACGGUAGUUUUACGCCUGCAUGCUGGUCCUUUCGUCUAUCGCGGGGAUAUCAUCACUUCAGCGGACAUUGCACUGAAGAGAUCCUGUGCUUGCGUGGCGGUGUGUUUGUGUGCUCACUUGGAUUGAGACCAGCAGUGCUUUUUUAAACAGUGGAUUCUUUAUGACAUCAAGAUGUGGUUUGGGAAGGACCUUCAUCUAAAUCUGAAGACAGGACAUACUGGCUCAAAAAGGUGUUUCUGAUAUGGAGAAAAACCCUGCACUGCUCAUUUUAUUUCUUCAUCUUGAGAAUACAGCAAGUUUACCUUUUGUCUGGAAAAUGAUUCAGCAAAGCUAACACCAACAACAAUUUUUCAUGGCACUUUAAACCACCUUGAUGUGAGGAGCCAGCAUCAGAAUGGAUGGUGUCAAUAUCCUGAAAGUGGAGGUAACAGAGGUGGAUCUCAAGACUUGGCCAUGUUCUAGAUUAUAACUGGAUUAUCACAAGUGCUGUCGCCCCUGCUGUAUAUGACGCCCCCACCACCUACACCAGGUGUAGGAAAUGUCGGUCCUGGAGUGCCGUUGUCCUGCAGAGUUUUGCUCCAGCUCUAAACAAACACACCUGAACAACUAGAUCUGAAGAGUCACCAGAAAACUACAGGUAGGCGAGGUUUAAUCAGGGUUGGAAAUAAAAUCUGCAGGAUUUCGGCACUCCAGGACCGACGUUGCCUACUCCUGCCACCACCACCCAUACUACCUACAAAAAACUGUAUUGUAAUUAUGCUUGUAUGAUGUGGUUUUCUCAUUUAGGGUAACUACACUAUGGCAACAAUUGGAUACAUUGAUUGCUGACUGAUUUUGUUAUUUUUUCUUUACUUUUUGUUUAAAAUCUAAUCAUUUUUUUGUUAUUUUUGUUAAUAUUGUUACAAAUAUACAGUUAAAACUGCACAAUAAAUUUUCUGCUUUUAAAGAUAUAGUU